rnacentral:tRNA from 1 species
UCUAAUAUGGCAGAAAAGUGUAAUGGAUUUAAGCUCCAUAAAUAAAGAUUGAUCUUUUGUUAGAA